UUGAAGAGUUUGAUCAUGGCUCAGAUUGAACGCUGGCGGCAGGCCUAACACAUGCAAGUCGAGCGGUAGCACAGAGAGCUUGCUCUCGGGUGACGAGCGGCGGACGGGUGAGUAAUGUCUGGGAAACUGCCUGAUGGAGGGGGAUAACUACUGGAAACGGUAGCUAAUACCGCAUAACGUCGCAAGACCAAAGUGGGGGACCUUCGGGCCUCAUGCCAUCAGAUGUGCCCAGAUGGGAUUAGCUAGUAGGUGGGGUAACGGCUCACCUAGGCGACGAUCCCUAGCUGGUCUGAGAGGAUGACCAGCCACACUGGAACUGAGACACGGUCCAGACUCCUACGGGAGGCAGCAGUGGGGAAUAUUGCACAAUGGGCGCAAGCCUGAUGCAGCCAUGCCGCGUGUAUGAAGAAGGCCUUCGGGUUGUAAAGUACUUUCAGCGGGGAGGAAGGCGAUAAGGUUAAUAACCUUGUCGAUUGACGUUACCCGCAGAAGAAGCACCGGCUAACUCCGUGCCAGCAGCCGCGGUAAUACGGAGGGUGCAAGCGUUAAUCGGAAUUACUGGGCGUAAAGCGCACGCAGGCGGUCUGUCAAGUCGGAUGUGAAAUCCCCGGGCUCAACCUGGGAACUGCAUUCGAAACUGGCAGGCUAGAGUCUUGUAGAGGGGGGUAGAAUUCCAGGUGUAGCGGUGAAAUGCGUAGAGAUCUGGAGGAAUACCGGUGGCGAAGGCGGCCCCCUGGACAAAGACUGACGCUCAGGUGCGAAAGCGUGGGGAGCAAACAGGAUUAGAUACCCUGGUAGUCCACGCCGUAAACGAUGUCGAUUUGGAGGUUGUGCCCUUGAGGCGUGGCUUCCGGAGCUAACGCGUUAAAUCGACCGCCUGGGGAGUACGGCCGCAAGGUUAAAACUCAAAUGAAUUGACGGGGGCCCGCACAAGCGGUGGAGCAUGUGGUUUAAUUCGAUGCAACGCGAAGAACCUUACCUGGUCUUGACAUCCACAGAACUUAGCAGAGAUGCUUUGGUGCCUUCGGGAACUGUGAGACAGGUGCUGCAUGGCUGUCGUCAGCUCGUGUUGUGAAAUGUUGGGUUAAGUCCCGCAACGAGCGCAACCCUUAUCCUUUGUUGCCAGCGGUUCGGCCGGGAACUCAAAGGAGACUGCCAGUGAUAAACUGGAGGAAGGUGGGGAUGACGUCAAGUCAUCAUGGCCCUUACGACCAGGGCUACACACGUGCUACAAUGGCAUACAAAGAGAAGCGACCUCGCGAGAGCAAGCGGACCUCAUAAAGUGUCGUAGUCCGGAUUGGAGUCUGCAACUCGACUCCAUGAAGUCGGAAUCGCUAGUAAUCGUAGAUCAGAAUGCUACGGUGAAUACGUUCCCGGGCCUUGUACACACCGCCCGUCACACCAUGGGAGUGGGUUGCAAAAGAAGUAGGUAGCUUAACCUUCGGGAGGGCGCUUACCACUUUGUGAUUCAUGACUGGGGUGAAGUCGUAACAAGGUAACCGUAGGGGAACCUGCGGUUGGAUCACCUCCUU
rnacentral:rRNA from 1 species